CCAAUAGCGUAUAUUAAAGUUGCUGCGGUUGAAAAGCUCGUAGUUGAAUUUCGGAAUUGAUGCAUCGGUCGUGCCUUAAGGGGCAUGAACUGGUGUAGCCAAUUUCUCACCUUCUGGUGAAUUGUUGAUGUUCUUAAUGGGUGUCUCAAUGAACUAGAAUUUUUUACUUUGAAAAAAUUAGAGUGUUUAAAGCAGGCAUUAAUUUGCUUGAAUACAUUAGCAUGGAAUAAUGAAAUAGGACAGUGGUUCCGUUUUGUUGGUUUCUAGGAUCACGUAAUGAUUAAUAGGGACAGUUGGGGGCAUUAGUAUUCAAUUGUCAGAGGUGAAAUUCUUGGAUUUAUUGAAGACUAACUAUUGCGAAAGCAUUUGCCAAGGAUGUUUUCAUUAAUCAAGAACGAAAGUUAGGGGAUCAAAGACGAUUAAGUACGUCGUAGUCCUAACCAUAAACUAUACCGACUAGGAAUCAGACGAUGUUAAUUUUUUAAUGACUCGUUUGGUACCUUACG
rnacentral:rRNA from 1 species